CAUAACGCGGUCGUCGACGGCCAGCCGUGCCGGGAGUUCGAGCUCGAAACCCCACCACACACAUCGCUUGUGACAGGCACCGCUUUGGAGUCGAGUUUUGGGUGUAAUAUGCGGCUGUAAAUGGAGAUGUUUUGAUUGUCGUUCCUUCUGAUGACGAUGCAGACCUUGGAAUCUACAAUAUGAGACAUGAUGAAGAACUCUGUGAAGAAUAAAACUAUGGACAGACUUUGAACUGAAUUUUAAAAAUCCUUUUAUUUAAUAUACUUUAAAGAUUUUUAAUUAUUUUAAUAAUGGAGACUAGACAUGCAUUAAACAGAAAUGUAACCAUUAACAAAUGUACUCAGAAGAAAUCAAAAGUAAGUUUACCGACUUAGAAUAGAAUUACAUGGCUUCUGCUGACAACCAAGUACAUGUAUCAUCAAGCCAAUGCAAAACUAGAGACUUUAAUUGUUUAUUUAGACAAAAUAUCUCCUGAUUAAAUUGAUAUUGCAGUAUACAUGUAGUGAACAAAAAUUGCAGUAUGGUUAUAAGACAAAAAUGCUUGGGUCUCGUAACAUCGGCUGUUGGAUUCGAAAUUAGGAUUGCAGCAAGGAUUUAAUUUUUCAUUCUAGUGAUUGUCGAAUAAAAGUUUUUUUCUUUACAAAUUAUUUUGUUGAAAAAACAAAAAGCAAAACACUCAAACUGGUCGGUGUUUAAAACUGAAAUUGAAACUUGGGCUUUCAAAAAUAAAGGGAUGG